rnacentral:rRNA from 1 species
GACGAACCCCUGCAGAGUGCUUAACACAUGCAAGUCGAACGGAAAGGCCCUGCUUUUGUGGGGUGCUCGAGUGGCGAACGGGUGUCUAACACGUGAGUAACCUGCCCUUGACUUUGGGAUAACUUCAGGAAACUGGGGCUAAUACCGGAUAGGAGCUCCUGCUGCAUGGUGGGGGUUGGAAAGUUUCGGCGGUUGGGGAUGGACUCGCGGCUUAUCAGCUUGUUGGUGGGGUAGUGGCUUACCAAGGCUUUGACGGGUAGCCGGCCUGAGAGGGUGACCGGCCACAUUGGGACUGAGAUACGGCCCAGACUCCUACGGGAGGCAGCAGUGGGGAAUAUUGCACAAUGGGCGGAAGCCUGAUGCAGCAACGCCGCGUGCGGGAUGACGGCCUUCGGGUUGUAAACCGCUUUCGCCUGUGACGAAGCGUGAGUGACGGUAAUGGGUAAAGAAGCACCGGCUAACUACGUGCCAGCAGCCGCGGUGAUACGUAGGGUGCGAGCGUUGUCCGGAUUUAUUGGGCGUAAAGGGCUCGUAGGUGGUUGAUCGCGUCGGAAGUGUAAUCUUGGGGCUUAACCCUGAGCGUGCUUUCGAUACGGGUUGACUUGAGGAAGGUAGGGGAGAAUGGAAUUCCUGGUGGAGCGGUGGAAUGCGCAGAUAUCAGGAGGAACACCAGUGGCGAAGGCGGUUCUCUGGGCCUUUCCUGACGCUGAGGAGCGAAAGCGUGGGGAGCGAACAGGCUUAGAUACCCUGGUAGUCCACGCUGUAAACGGUGGGUACUAGGUGUGGGGUCCAUUCCACGGGUUCCGUGCCGUAGCUAACGCUUUAAGUACCCCGCCUGGGGAGUACGGCCGCAAGGCUAAAACUCAAAGGAAUUGACGGGGCCCCGCACAAGCGGCGGAGCAUGCGGAUUAAUUCGAUGCAACGCGUAGAACCUUACCUGGGUUUGACAUGGAUCGGGAGUGCUCAGAGAUGGGUGUGCCUCUUUUGGGGUCGGUUCACAGGUGGUGCAUGCCUGUCGUCAGCUCGUGUCGUGAGAUGUUGGGUUAAGUCCCGCAACGAGCGCAACCCUUGUUCACUGUUGCCAGCACGUUAUGGUGGGGACUCAGUGGAGACCGCCGGGGUCAACUCGGAGGAAGGUGGGGAUGACGUCAAGUCCUCAUGCCCCUUAUGUCCAGGGCUUCACGCAUGCUACAAUGGCUGGUACAGAGAGUGGCGAGCCUGUGAGGGUGAGCGAAUCUCGGAAAGCCGGUCUCAGUUCGGAUUGGGGUCUGCAACUCGACCUCAUGAAGUCGGAGUCGCUAGUAAUCAAAGAUCAGCAACGCUGCGGUGAAUACGUUCCCGGGGCC